UGGCUGGGGGUGAAAGGCCAAUCAAACCGGGAGAUAGCUGGUUCUCCCCGAAAGCUAUUUAGGUAGCGCCUCGUGAAUUCAUCUUCGGGGGUAGAGCACUGUUUCGGCUAGGGGGUCAUCCCGACUUACCAACCCGAUGCAAACUACGAAUACCGAAGAAUGUUAUCACGGGAGACACACGGCGGGUGCUAACGUCCGUCGUGAAGAGGGAAACAACCCAGACCGCCAGCUAAGGUCCCAAAGUCAUGGUUAAGUGGGAAACGAUGUGGGAAGGCACAGACAGCCAGGAUGUUGGCUUAGAAGCAGCCAUCAUUUAAAGAAAGCGUAAUAGCUCACUGGUCGAGUCGGCCUGCGCGGAAGAUGUAACGGGGCUAAACCAUGCACCGAAGCUGCGGCAGCGACACUAUGUGUUGUUGGGUAGGGGAGCGUUCUGUAAGCCUGCGAAGGUGUGCUGUGAGGCAUGCUGGAGGUAUCAGAAGUGCGAAUGCUGACAUAAGUAACGAUAAAGCGGGUGAAAAGCCCGCUCGCCGGAAGACCAAGGGUUCCUGUCCAACGUUAAUCGGGGCAGGGUGAGUCGACCCCUAAGGCGAGGCCGAAAGGCGUAGUCGAUGGGAAACAGGUUAAUAUUCCUGUACUUGGUGUUACUGCGAAGGGGGGACGGAGAAGGCUAUGUUAGCCGGGCGACGGUUGUCCCGGUUUAAGCAUGUAGGCUGAUUAUCCAGGCAAAUCCGGAUAAUCAAGGCUGAGGUGUGAUGACGAGGCACUACGGUGCUGAAGUAACAAAUGCCCUGCUU
rnacentral:rRNA from 1 species